AGGACAUAAACAGAGGCUGAGGGUGUUACCUGGAGGUUAUAAACAGAGGCUGAGGGUGUUACUACUAGAGUUUAUAAACAGAGGCUGAGGGUGUUACCUGGAGGUUAUAAACAGAGGCUGAGAGUGUUACCUGGAGGUUAUAAACAGAGUCUGGGGGUGUUACUACUAGAGGACAUAAACAGAGGCUGAGGGUGUUACCUGGAGGUUAUAAACAGAGGCUGAGGGUGUUACUACUAGAGUUUAUAAACAGAGGCUGAGGGUGUUACCUGGAGGUUAUAAACAGAGGCUGAGAGUGUUACCUGGAGGUUAUAAACAGAGUCUGGGGGUGUUACUACUAGAGGACAUAAACAGAGGCUGAGGGUGUUACUACUAGAGGUUAUAAACAGAGGCUGAGGGUGUUACUACUAGAGGUUAUAAACAGAGGCUGAGGGUGUUACUACUAGAGGUUAUAAACAGAGGCUGAGCGUGUUACUACUAGAGGUUAUAAACAGAGGCUGAGGGUGUUACCUAGAGGUUAUAAACAGAGGUUGCGGGUGUAUCUACUAGUGUUUAUAAACAGAGGCUGAGAGUGUUACUAAUGGAGGUUAUAAACAGAGGCUGAGGGUGUUACUACUUGAGGUUAUAAACAGAGCUUGGGGGUGUUACUACUAGAGGUUAUAAACAGGCUGGGGGUGUUACUACUAGAGGUUAUAAACAGAGGCUGAGGGUGUUACCUGGAGGUUUUAAACAGAGACUGGGGGUGUUACUAAUGGAGGUUAUAAACAGAGGCUGGGGGUGUUACUACUAGAGGUUAUAAACAGAGACUGGGGGUGUUACCUGGAGGUUAUAAACAGAGGCUGCGGGUGUUACUAAUGGAGGUUAUAAACAGAGGCUGAGGGUGUUACUACUAGAGGUUAUAAACAGAGGCUGGGGGUGUUACUAAUGGAGGUUAUAAACAGAGGCUGAGGGUGUUUCUACUAGAGGUUAUAAACAGAGGCUGAGGGUGUUACUAAUGGGGUUAUAAACAGAGGCUGAGGGUGUUACUAAUGGAGGUUAUAAACAGAGGCUGAGGGUGUUACUACUGGAGGUUAUAAACAGAGGCUGAGGGUGUUACUACUAGAGGUUAUAAACAGAGGCUGGGGGUGUUACUAAUGGAGGUUAUAA